GGGCCGGACGCCGUGUUGGUUGCAGGCAGCGGACUCAUAAUCCGCCGGAGAAAUCCCAUCCUCGGUUCGAAUCCGAGUCGGCCCACCA
rnacentral:tRNA from 1 species